rfam:Myotis davidii contig97055, whole genome shotgun sequence.
GGUGGUUCUCAGGUGACACACUCUGGAAUUGGGCUCCCUCCUCUCUGGUUCCAGGUGUGUCACCUGAGAACCGCA